rnacentral:lncRNA from 1 species
AUUAUUGGAAAAAAAUUCUUAACCAGUAAAAGCAUGGCACUGUGGAUUAAGUACCAGGCUAACAUCAAGGAAAUCAGGUGAUGAUAGCCUACUGUAUGUCCCCAGGUAGGAGCCAACACAUUUGCUGGUACAGAUGAGCUGCGUUCCUCACGGAGCACGGGCACAUCAAUUCUGGAACAGUCAGCCCCAUCACCAUGCUGCUUUUCUAUUUGAACCUUUCAUGCCCUGCAAGACAAGGCACGUGAAGCUGUUUUUUUUUUAUUAUUAUUGUUAUUUACACUAAUAUUGGAGAUAGAGGAUGAAUCCCAAGCAAAUUUGCCUUUCUU